GUGACCUAGUAGCAGCUCAAGCCAAGAAAAUCAGUGACGCGGUUUGUAACCCAGUUUUGGUCAUACCCUGUUCAUGCCAAAAGGACAUUGUGGGGAAGCGAUCUUUCCGGAAACAACGCUCGGGCCGCUUAGUACCUACAUCGAAUGUCUGACAAGUGCAGGAGAUAGAGAAACGUGCAAGGCUGGAACCAAAGCCUCUGUCAUCAUCAGCAAGCCACAAGGGAAACUUGCAGCUCUUACAUGUAAUGCUGCCUUGUCUCCUCUGAAGAUGUACAGCACGACCGUCGUCUUUCUCCCCUUGAUGAUGAUGGCGUUUCUUCCGUAACGCACAACGAAUCAUCAUAUGUUUGAAAUGUAGUGAAAUGUAGUGUUUGAGUGUUCAUUUUUUGUUUGCGAAGCUAAAUAGAUUUACAAUUAAAGCGUUGCAGUAAAUAAUUUCAGUGACAGCUAAUCUCAUACAGUCAAUCUCAUUGAUACGUUGCGAUGAUUCAGAUGAUAAUCAGAGUGUAUUGAAACAAUUGAAGCAUCUACAAACUGACUAAAGGAGCCAAACGACUUUUCAUUAAAUGCGUUUAUGCCACCGUGAUGACGUUUUCUGAUGACGUGGUUCUCCCUAAAAGGCCACUGACAAAUAAAAAAUAUCAUCAACCCUUUAGUCACUUUGAUAGGAAAGACAUAAUCUAGCCACUAUUUCCUCAGUAUUUCCCCCCUGACCUGAAGUAAGUAUACCAGAUCAUUUGAGAAUCACUUGAAAAAAACAAUGUACUGGCUUA